rnacentral:rRNA from 1 species
UACGGGGGGGGUAAGCGUUGUUCGGAAUUACUGGGCGUAAAGGGCUCGUAGGCGGCCAACUAAGUCAGACGUGAAAUCCCUCAGCUUAACUGGGGAACUGCGUCUGAUACUGGAUGGCUUGGAUUCGGGAGAGGAAUGCGGAAUUCCAGGUGUAGCGGUGAAAUGCGUAGAUAUCUGGAGGAACACCAGCGGCGAAGGCGGCUUUCUGGCUCAUUCCUGACGCUGAGGAGCGAAAGCGUGGGUAGCGAACGGG